UUGGGAGCUCACUAGUUUCCAAGUCAUGGGAACUCUAAAGUUAAGCGAGUUUGGGCUAGAGCAAUCCUAGGAUGGGUGACCCACUGGGAAGUUGUUCGUGAGUUCCCAGA
rfam:Prunus persica cultivar Lovell chromosome G6, whole genome shotgun sequence.